rnacentral:lncRNA from 1 species
UCAUCCUGUUAGCAUUUCAAACUCAUUUGCAUCAUAAUCCCAAGGUAUUCACUCUGUUAAAACUCAUCUUUUUCCAUUUUUUUAAAUGGUAAUUUUUGAGUUCAUUUUGUGGAAUCGAUUUUAAUAGGUUGUUGUAGACCUUAGGAUUAUUUUUAUAAAUACUAGGGUGCUAGAUUAUCAUGGGAAAACAGAGCUCUUUCUUGGUGAUUCACUGUUCUUGAAUUUUGAAAAUUGUUACAAAAUAAUUCAUGGAAAAAUCGAUUUUUCUUGAAAAAGUGAUGAACUUGUUUCUUGCUGAGUCUUUGCUUUGAACUUUUGUUUUGCAUUGCUAUGAAUUCAUUGGACUGAUGCUUGGCUUUAGAAACUUGUUCAUGUUCUUUAGAAAUCGAUUUUUGCAACAAUGUUUUCAAAUUUUUUGAGAACUUUGUGGAACUUGACCUUGUGCUAACUUGUUUCAGAGAAAAUCUUUGGCAGAUGACUGAGAGAACCAAUGCUCUAGCCCGCAUGAAGAAAGGUCUUGCAUCCAAAGACAAGAGCCUGGUCUCAGGAUCUUCAAAGCCAAAAGGAAAUGGCCAAGGCACCAAGAAGAGCACAAAGCAAAAAAGGAGUGAACAAGAGCCAAAAAGAACAAGGA